ACAUUAUCUUAUUGGCAGACCAAAUGCAAUAGAAUUAGAAUCUAAUAACACCCUAA
rnacentral:tRNA from 1 species